AAGAUAUCGUGUGCGAUAAGUCCCUGCUCCGCCUUGCCCUAUCCCGAACUGCCUCCUUCCUCUUAUUAUUUGUUCAUUUUGCUUAAGCGUAUAUUCCUCCAACAGAUGAAUACCUAAUCGAGGCCUCCUUAUCCCCUUAUUAUUCUUUCAUCUUGCUCAAGCACCGCAUUUCUACUGUGGCAUGCAUGCAAUUCGUCGAUCCCUGCCACUACUUCAAGAUGGCUGAACUAGGGCUCUUAAGGUUCUUAAUUUGCAAUUUCUGAACGAUCGAUAGACUGUCGUAAUCGUCGAAUGCAAAUUGUUUUUUACAUAGAAAAAGGUAAAUCUUCUGACCUUAUCAUGAUCUUCUCUAUCGCUGAUUUUGAAAUUUAUUAAUUAGGCCAUUGGUGUUCGCUUGAGUUAGUUGUUGGAUUCGUUGCAUCCUGAUUCCACAAAGGUUUUUAGCAAUUAAUAUAAGUAGGCAAUCGAGUAUUGCAAUAAGGUUAUAGAAGGUAGACUUAUAAUAUUUGUGUAAAUAUUUAUGAAGACCCAAAUUCAAUCGGUAAGGAAAAUAGAUAUAAUUUUUUUCGGAGGAUUAUAAUGAAAAAAAAAAAUAUAGUUCCUAGUUAUUGGGGCUUUUUUAUGUUGUGUGUGAAGAUUUAUGGAAACUAGAGUUAGCAUGUCUAAAAUAUUGAGAGGACUGGCCAAGACGCUGAUUAAGCUGACCCUAGGAGUUGGGCUUAAGGAUGAUGAUGUCAGGGUACUAAAUUCAUGGUAGCUUAAAUUGCUUGCAAAUUGUAAUAUAUUUUGUAGUUGGCUUAUCUUAGUUAUAAGGGUGUCAAAACCGGGUCACGGGUCGGGUUCGUGUCAAACCCGAACCGACCCGGUAAUGGAUAAGGGUCAAUAUUCAGGACCCGAACCCGACCCGAGUCAGGUUCGGGUCAACCCGGAAUGACCCGCUAACCCGAUUUAUUUUCAAAAAAAAAAUUCAAAAACACAAACACAGAAAGUUAUAAACAGAAAUUUGCAUAAAUAAAAAUUUUAUUUAAGAAUCAAAACCAAUUUGUUAAUUACAAUAUACAAAUUAUACAAAAUAUUAAACUAUCAAAUAAAUUACACAAAUAAUUACAAUUUUUAAAAAUGUCAAACCAUAAUCGCAAUUUACAAAAUCUUCAACUCCUUGAUGUCUUGACUCUUGUGCCUACGGCCUGCCCUCAUAGAAAAAAACUAACUGCAAAAAAUAUAAACAAUUAAAUAGAUAUAAUUUGAAAUCCAUGAAUUAGUUGAAAGCUUGAGUUAUUAGCUCAGAUCAACCCUCCAAAUAAUUCAUCAUUCAAUGAAAUGUGAGUCAACAAUAUAAUUUUUUUCGGUUGCGGACUUGCGAAUCUAGAAAUUGCCAUCCAAGGUGCCAUUUUGUAUUUUAUACUUAGUAUCUGUUUGAUUAACCCUCCAAAUGUCACCUGGUUGCAAUAACUUAUUUCCCACAAUUGACUUCACAAUAAGUUUAGAAGGGUACUGUUGACCCCUAACAUAGGAUCCUUGCCUAUAGAUAACCUCAUCAGUAGAGGCAAAGCUAAGGAGCUUGUUAUGUAGUGGUUGAGGAAGCCAUCAAAUGAUCCUCGGACAAGUUCGUACAGAAGCAUUUCCUUUUUUAUCUAUAAUGGGCCAUGGUGGUAUGUGCAAGACAACGCUCUUACAACCUGUUUAUGAAGAUGGAAUGACAAAGGAAUUUGACCUUAAAAUGUAGGUUUGUGUUUCCAACAACUUUGAUGUAAAAAAAAAAGAAGAAGUCAUUGCACAUAUGUUGGAAUCUCUUAAGAAGGAGAGACCUCAUUUGGAGACGCUUAAGGCACUUCAAGAUAGCCUUUGGACUGAAAUCAUGUUCAAAAAAGUUCUUGCUUGUGCUGGAUGACAUUUUGGGAGGAUGAUGAGAAGCAGGAUAAAGGUAAAAGGGAGAAGGUGCUCGUCUCUUUGACUUAUGGGGUUUUGUUAUUAGAAUUUUGGUGACAACUUCAAUGGGCUCAUCUGCAAUGAUGAUUGCAACGGUCAUUAAAAAAGAAGGCGGAAGUAUUUAGAUUAGAAAGCUUGGGGAAAGGUCAGUGCUGAAGCUCCUCAAUCCGCAUGCAUUUGCUGAUAAGAAGAAUUCUAAUGAUUAUUAAAAGAUUAAGAUCCACCGCUAGAAAGAUGAUUGAAACGCUUUUUGGAUCUCCAUUUGUUGCAAAGGUCAUCGAUAGUGUCGUGAAUUCCUAGGCAAUUCAAAAAAAAAAAAGAUAUAAAGGCCUGCGCUACGAUGGAAAUGAGCCCUCGAAAAUGCUCAGACGACAUCCGAUCGACAAAC